rnacentral:rRNA from 1 species
UACGAAGGGGGCUAGCGUUGCUCGGAAUCACUGGGGCGUAAAGGGUGCGUAGGCGGGUCUUUAAGUCAGGGGUGAAAUCCUGGAGCUCAACUCCAGAACUGCCUUUGAUACUGAGGAUCUUGAGUUCGGGAGAGGUGAGUGGAACUGCGAGUGUAGAGGUGAAAUUCGUAGAUAUUCGCAAGAACACCAGUGGCGAAGGCGGCUCACUGGCCCGAUACGUGA